rnacentral:rRNA from 1 species
AGGAAAUCAAUCUCGAGACUCCCCGAGUAGCGGCGAGCGAAAGGGGACCGAUGGCCAAACCGUCGAGCGGGCAUACCCGGCAGGGGUUCCGCCGACGGGGUUGCAGGGCCGCGCAUCCGGGGGCUGCCGCCCCCGGGCGCAGGUCCGGCUGGGGAGCGGAACGGCAUGGGAGGGCCGGCCGCAGCGGGUGACAGCCCCGUACGCGAACCCAGACCGGACGGCGCGACGCGGUCCCUGAGUAGGGCCGGGCACGUGAAACCCGGUCCGAACCUGGGUGGACCACCAUCCAAGCCUGAGUACUACCCUGUGACCGAUAGCGCACCAGUACCGUGAGGGAAAGGUGAAAAGCACCCCGGGAGGGGAGUGAAACAGUACCUGAAACCGUGCGCCCACGAGCAGUCGGAGCAACUUUACGUUGUGACGGCGUGCCUUUUGUAGAAUGAGCCAGCGAGUCGCUGGCGCGGGGCGAGGUUAACCGAAAGGGAGCCGGAGCGAAAGCGAGCCUUAACAGGGCGACUUGAGUCCCGCGCCGCGGACGCGAAGCCGGGUGAGCUAUCCGUGGGCAGGCUGAAGCGGGGGUAAGACCCCGUGGAGGGCCGAACGCACGUCGGUUGAAAACGGCGGCGAUGACCUGCGGAUAGGGGUGAAAGGCCAAUCAAACCCGGAGAUAUCUCGUUCUCCCCGAAAUAGCUUUAGGGCUAGCGUCGCGCGUUCACCGCCGGAGGUAGAGCACCGGAUGGACGAGGGGGCUUCGCCGCCUACCGAAUCCAACCGAACUCCGAAUGCCGGCGGCCCAGAGCGCGGCAGUCAGAGCAUGUGGGCUAAGCUGUGUGCUCGAGAGGGAAACAGCCCGGACCGCCCGCUAAGGUCCCCAAGUUCCAGCCGAGUGGCAAAGGAUGUGCGUCCGCCCAGACAACCAGGAUGUUGGCUUAGAAGCAGCCACUCAUUAAAAGAGUGCGUAAUAGCUCACUGGUCGAGUGACUCUGCGCCGAAAAUUUAACGGGGCUAAACUAUACACCGAAGCUUGGGAUACAUCUAAUGUAUGGUAGGAGAGCGUUCUGUAUGGGGAGAAGUCGUAGCGAAAGCGGCGGUGGACUAUACAGAAGUGAGAAUGCCGGAAUAAGUAGCGAGAAUUAAGUGAGAAUCUUAAUGGCCGAAAGUCUAAGGUUUUUGGAGGAAGGUUCGUCCGCUCCAAGUAAGUCGGGAGCUAAGGUCAGGCCGAAAGGCGUAGCCGAUGCACAUACGGUUGAUAUUCCGUAACCAUCUGUAAUUUAAGCAAAGGGACACUUCAAAAGGGUGUGACCCGGGCGUUGGUUGACCCGGGCGUAAGGGACCGAAAUUAGAGUAGGGAAGCACACUUAGCUGAAGGCGAGAAAAGCUUUGCGUAUAGAAACAGAUGCCCGUACCGCAAACCGACACAGGUGGACAGGAAGAGAAUUCUAAGGCCAGCGGGAGAAGGGUAGUUAAGGAACUCGGCAAAUUGACUCCGUAACUUCGGAAUAAGGAGUGCUCGAAAGAGCCGCAGAGAAUAGGCCCAGGCGACUGUUUAGCAAAAACACAGGUCUCUGCCAAAUCGAAAGAUGAAGUAUAGGGGCUGACACCUGCCCGGUGCCGGAAGGUUAAGAGGAGGAGUGAGAGCUCCGAAUUGAAGCCCCGGUAAACGGCGGCCGUAACUAUAACGGUCCUAAGGUAGCGAAAUUCCUUGUCGGGUAAGUUCCGACCCGCACGAAUGGUGUAACGAUCUGGGCACUGUCUCAACUACCCACCCGGCGAAAUUGUAGUACCGGUGAAGAUGCCGGUUACCUGCGGCAAGACGGAAAGACCCCAUGGAGCUUUACUGUAGCCUGAUAUUGGGUUUCGGAAAUCUAUGUACAGGAUAGGCGGGAGACUGGGAAACAUGAGCGUCAGCUUGUGUGGAGUCGAUGUUGGGAUACCGCCCUUAGGUUUCUGGAAUUCUAACCUGCGGCCGUGAAACCGGUCGGGGGACAUUGUCAGGUGGGCAGUUUGACUGGGGCGGUCGCCUCCGAAAAGGUAACGGAGGCGCUCAAAGGUUAGCUCAGCACGGACGGAAACCGUGCCUCUGAGUGUAAACGCAAAAGCUAGCCUAACUGCGAGGGUGACGGCCCGAGCAGUAACGAAAGUUGGAGUUAGUGAUCCGGCGGUAUGUGAAUGGAAAUGCCGUCGCUCAACGGAUAAAAGCUACCCUGGGGAUAACAGGCUGAUCUCCCCCAAGAGUCCACAUCGACGGGGAGGUUUGGCACCUCGAUGUCGGCUCAUCACAUCCUGGGGCUGUAUUCGGUCCCAAGGGUUCGGCUGUUCGCCGAUUAAAGUGGUACGCGAGCUGGGUUCAGAACGUCGCGAGACAGUUCGGUCCCUAUCUGUCGUGGGCGCAGGAUAUUUGAGGAGCUCUGUCCUUAGUACGAGAGGACCGGGAUGGACGUACCUCUGGUGCACCAGUUGUCAUGCCAAUGGCACGGCUGGGCAGCUAUGUACGGAACGGAUAAACGCUGAAAGCAUCUAAGCGUGAAGCCGACUCCAAGAUUAGAUAUCCCAUCGUAUAACGAGUAAGACCCCUUGAAGACUACGAGGUUGAUAGGCUGCGUGUGUAAGUGCCGUGAGGCAUUCAGCUUGGCAGUACUAAUAGGUCGAGGGCUUGACCAC